CCUCCUUUGUUCCUCCUUGGGGCAUCUUGCACAAUGGGGGAAACCCUGAUGCAGCGACGCCGCGUGAGUGAAGAAGUAUUUCGGUAUGUAAAGCUCUAUCAGCAGGGAAGAAAAUGACGGUACCUGAUUAAGAAGCCCCGGCUAACUACGUGCCAGCAGCCGCGGUAAUACGUAGGGGGCAAGCGUUAUCCGGAUUUACUGGGUGUAAAGGGAGCGUAGACGGCAGCACAAGUCUGGAGUGAAAUGCCGGGGCUUAACCCCGGAACUGCUUUGGAAACUGUGCAGCUAGAGUGCAGGAGAGGUAAGUGGAAUUCCUAGUGUAGCGGUGAAAUGCGUAGAGAUUAGGAGGAACACCAGUGGCGAAGGCGGCUUACUGGACUGUAACUGACGUUGAGGCUCGAAAGCGUGGGGAGCAAACAGGAUUAGAUACCCCAGUAGUC
rnacentral:rRNA from 1 species